AAGGAUUGUAAACUCCUUUUGUUAGAGAAGAUAAUGACGGUAUCUAACGAAUAAGCACCGGCUAACUCCGUGCCAGCAGCCGCGGUAAUACGGAGGGUGCAAGCGUUACUCGGAAUCACUGGGCGUAAAGAGCGCGUAGGCGGGAUAGUCAGUCAGGUGUGAAAUCCUAUGGCUUAACCAUAGAACUGCAUUUGAAACUACUAUUCUAGAGUGUGGGAGAGGUAGGUGGAAUUCUUGGUGUAGGGGUAAAAUCCGUAGAGAUCAAGAGGAAUACUCAUUGCGAAGGCGACCUGCUGGAACAUUA
rnacentral:rRNA from 1 species